rnacentral:rRNA from 1 species
UACGUAGGGUGCAAGCGUUGUCCGGAUUCAUUGGGCGUAAAGGGUGCGUAGGCGGCUUUGUAAGUUAGAGGUGAAAGCCCGGGGCUCAACCUCGGAAUUGCCUUCGAUACUGGGUAUCUUGAGUUCGGGAGAGGUGAGUGGAAUGCCGAGUGUAGAGGUGAAAUUCGUAGAUAUUCGGAAGAACACCAGUGGCGAAGGCGACUUACUGGACACAUAUUGACGCUGAGGUGCGAAAGCGUGGGGAGCAAACAGG